GCAGGCAGCGAGCGGGAGGCAGAGAAUAAAGAGCGGGUGCGCGGAGGGCCGCGCCUCGGCUCCGUCGCCCUCGCCGGGGCUGGGGCGGCCCUGUACGCACUAGCCUGUCUGAGCUCCUCCACUGGGAAGGCUGAGGAUAUCCCGAGUCAGGACGGCUCCAAGUCCCCCUCUUUUUGGUCAGGCCCUGGCCGUCUCCAAGAGGAAAGGAGAGCUGGGGGAUCCAGGGAGCCACCCAAGUGUGGACAGUGCGUGGUGAGUCAGGAGAGUCAGGAGUCCCAGCACCCACAGAGAUGCUGCAAGGGCAUAACCAGCCCUACAGGAGUAUGUCCGGCCCGGCACAGCUCGGGGAGGCCCAGUGAAGACAGACGGAGAGAACACGACAGUUCCAAAACAAC